UACGUAGGGUGCAAGCGUUAAUCGGAAUUACUGGGCGUAAAGCGUGCGCAGGCGGUUUUGUAAGUCUGAUGUGAAAUCCCCGGGCUCAACCUGGGAAUUGCAUUGGAGACUGCAAGGCUAGAAUCUGGCAGAGGGGGGUAGAAUUCCACGUGUAGCAGUGAAAUGCGUAGAGAUGUGGAGGAACACCGAUGGCGAAGGCAGCCCCCUGGGUCAAGAUUGACGCUCAUGCACGAAAGCGCGGGGAGCAAACAGG
rnacentral:rRNA from 1 species